rnacentral:lncRNA from 1 species
GACAAUGAGAAUACAGUUUCCUCCGAAAAAAUCUUAGGCUGAUCUUGGAAGAAAGACCCCCUGGAUCAUCUAAAAAUAAAGUUUUCUAUUUAAAGGUUGGUUUUAAUGUUCAUUAUAGCCCUAUGUGCUACCAGAAAAUGGUUUGCCUUUUUGUUUUAAACAUAAGGAAUCAAUGUAACGCCUUAUACCUGAUAACCUGUGCUGUUGUAUUUGGUCCUCCCUACAACUCUGUCCAUAGAUAUUAUUGUUGCCACUUUAUAGAUGAAAAAACGGAAGCAAAACCAUUAAGUGCCUUCCCCAAGGUCUUAAAAGAAGUCACCAAGAAGGUGGUGUGGCUCAAGUCUCCUGACUCCAGUUUACUAUUUCCCACAAUAAUGUUGGAAAACCACAUUGGAACGGGAAGACUCAUUCCAAGUACUGCUGUCACACCAGCAAGCUUCAAAGAAGCCUGAGGUGAGAUGUCUGGCCGUGUUGCUAGUGCCGUCGCCCUCAAGAAGCCAAACAGGCUCUCAGAGUCUCUCAGGCCCUGCCCCCGGACGUGGCCCCGCCCCAGAGCAUGCUGGGCAGGACCUCCCCAUAGAUCCCUCCCAUUGCCAAUGUAUUCCUCCAGAGGAUUCUGAGCUCUGCUUGGUGUUUCCAGCUGUGAUGAGGUAAAUGUAGUCUUGGUCCUCUGGAAAAGUAGAUAAUUAAGGCAGAUAGUCCACACAUGUGAAAGUGUUGUGACUUGGAAAGGGUGGGCAGAUCCCAGGUUGGGAGGAUUAAGGAAAGCAUUGAGGGAAACCUUUCAGUAUGGUGGGAAGGAAGGAGGAAAGAAGAGAUGGAGGAUCUCAUUUUGGUUUUGGUUUUGUUUUGUUUUGAAGUUUUUAUGAAGAAAAGUUCCCAUCUGAUGACUUCUCUGUUUCCCUCUGGUGGUCCAGCACAUAUGAUCAAUGAGCGAGGAGUGUGGACAAGGUGUAGGAAAGUGGAAUUGUUUUGAGAACUUAGGCAAGCGAGUUGACUGAGAAAACAAUCACAGAAGCUCCCCCGAGACAGGGCCUCUGUUUGUUGCCUCCACUGGGUGUCCCAAGUGCUUGGAAGAGCGUCUGGCACAUGGUAACACAGGAGGAAUGACUGGAUUCUGAGGCAGUGGUGGAGCUGAGCAACAGAUGUAGAACAGAAGUUUAUGGGGCACAAACACACUUGUGUGAUUUUAUCCAAGAGGAAGCAGGCCCUUAUUUGAAGGCAGUUCUAAAACAGGCAGAGUUGGAUUUUGCUAGACAGGACGAAUGAAAGAAGGGGGUAGGCUGUUUAGAGCAGAGCAGUAUAUUUAGGUUUAGGAUUAAGUGAUGCCCCAUGAAGUUUUCCUUGGAGAGGGAGGAAAUGAAGACAAAGGUUGUCAGGUAAGCAGGGGAAAGUAUGGAGUGGCUUGUAGUUCCUGAAUAGGUUGAGGCAUUAGCAUGCUGAGGGCAGAAG